GCUAAGAAAACUUACACGUUUAUACCACUGUAGUGAUUUAUUUAAUUAUUAGUAUAAGACUUUCCACCCUCAUUCUCACCCAUAGUUUCUGAGAGGCUACAAAGAUAGUUGAAAUAAUUAAUCCAUGAUUCUAGAAUUAGAAGUGCAUACGAUGCAUGUUGAAUGUUGUAAUGGAUGGUGUUUUUCACCAGUGGAAAGGAGACACGACCCGAGCAUUACGCGAUAAGUGGCAACAACGUAGGUAGUGGCUUCCUUUGAUGCAGACAAAGUUAGAGAGGUUUGGAACGUACAUGGGCAACUAGGAAUGGUGGUGGAUAAGAUAAGGAAGGAGUGGAGUGGAUUAGGGUGAGUUGACCUCUGAAUGUGAGACAGGUGCCCUUUUAGCCUUUUCAUUUCGUGAACCAAGAAUCCCGUGUCAUCUUGAA
rnacentral:lncRNA from 1 species